UGGGGAAUUGUUCACAAUGGGCGCAAGCCUGAUGACGCAACGCCGCGUGGGGGAUGAAGGUCUUCGGAUCGUAAACCCCUGUCGAAUGGGACGAAAGACUCGCGAGUGAAUACUUCGCGAGAGUGACGGUACCGUUAAAGGAAGCCACGGCUAACUCUGUGCCAGCAGCCGCGGUAAUACAGAGGUGGCAAGCGUUGUUCGGAAUUACUGGGCGUAAAGGGCGCGUAGGCGGCCCUCUAAGUCAGACGUGAAAUCCCCCGGNUUAACCUGGGAACUGCGUCUGAUACUGGAGGGCUUGAGUAUGGGAGAGGGAUGUAGAAUUCCAGGUGUAGCGGUGAAAUGCGUAGAUAUCUGGAGGAAUACCGGUGGCGAAGGCGGCAUCCUGGACCAUUACUGACGCUGAGGCGCGAAAGCUAGGGGAGCAAACGGGAUUAGAUACCCUCGUAGUCCCUGAGCGGGCUGGCAAGGCGCAU
rnacentral:rRNA from 1 species